AAGCACUCGCAAGAAAGAGGAUCAGGAAAUCAGAUCUAGUAACAGGAUCUAAGAUUGUCAGAUACACACGCGCACACGCAGACACAUUCAACCCUCCUCCCUGUUCAGCUGGGAUCUGUUUUUGCAGUGAUGCACCAGGGGCAAUUCAUGGCAAGCUGCUUAGGUGUAUGAAGUUGCAGACGUGUAGACCCUCCAGGUUAGAAGACGGGAGCGAGCGAGCUAGGAGCGCCGCGCAAAGCUGGCCCCUGGCUGGAGGUUUAGGAAGAAAGAUGCGCUCCAAACUCUGAGCGCUAGAAAAGAAGAUCGAACCGGGGUUGGGGGAUUGUCUCGGCGCAAAGUAACUUUAGGGCAGCCUGCAUGCAAGCCCAGCAGGUGGCGGGGGCAUAGGGCGAGAGAGAAACAGAAGGUAAAGGGGCCCUGUGUGCGGUGCGAAGUGUGCAGCCGAAGCUCUAGUUGUAAUAGGCAAUCCAACUUUUCCUAACUUGUCCGGGCUGCGCCCCAGGAAGGUCGUCGCCCCGCUGCAGCCACUGGAGGCGCCGAAAUGCCCAGCGCGGCAGCGGCGACAAACCAACAGCAAGCGAGUUCUGGAGGCAGACCGGGGAAACGCAGCGCCGGCACCUGGGAAAGGGUAGUGGCGGUGUAUGAUUUGUGUUUCUGUGAGACUGAUUGACACGGGGCGGAGAGGGACGGAGAGAGACGAGGAAAAGUGUCCCCAUUCAAAAGGGAUCUGUGCGCUCAGCUCCCGAUGGCUUUCUUUAGGAGGCUCUGGAGGAAGGGAGUGAAUUGAAAAGAAAGAAGGAACACUCUUCCUCUCAGUUGGUUUCAAGAAAGCGCCUGGGAAAAAUGCGAGUGUCUGGUUGUUUAUUUGCCUACGCUGGUUCCUCCUAGGAACACACCCAGAGGCUAGCAUGCCAAUGAGUUGUUUAACACAAAUUACCUGCUACUGCGUGCUUUCUGGAAUAAAAGUGCUGGGUGGGUUAACACUCCAGAAAAGUUACUCUUUGUGCAUUCAAAUCUUUGAACUGAAACUACUUUCGACGAAGCUUAUAAAAGAAGAGAUGAGAAUGCUGUUAAUCUAUAAGUGUUCAUAUCCCCCCUCCCCCAAGCUCUGUACUGUUGCAAAGUUUGCCUCUUUUGAGGAAAAAAGUGGCUGUCCCAUAAAGACAUAGCACCAUGAGUGACUACAGUGGCAAUACUGGUAAACCUGUCUUUCUUUAGGAGGCAGGGUGGGAGGGAGGGUAUUUUGCAGCCCCACUAAUCUGCUAUGCUGCUUUUGCUAAAUUCUGUUCAGUAUAAAUCCAAAUACUAAGGCCUUUAUUCUCCUAAUGCAAGCUAUGCAAAAAGUUGGGAAAGCAGCACAUGUACAUUAACUUAAAUAAAAUUUCUACCAUUUCCAAUUAUAUAUAGAUAUAGGUCUGGUGACAUUGUCCCUUAUUUUUAUAGAUAAGUAAACCAAGGAAGGGAAAGGGUUAUGUUACCUGCUUAAAUCCACACAAUGAGUCAGUGGUAAAGCUGUGAAUAAAAUCCAGAGCUCCUUCUGACUCUCAGACCUGUGGUCUAACCACUAAACAAUAGUCAACCCUUGUAAUGCAUAAUCUAACCACUUAUUCACUCAUUUUAUUCUAUUUAUAAAUAUGGGCUCUGAAUGGAUCACUAAUAAAACACUUCCAUAACCUCAAUAAUCUAUUCUUAUACCCACAUUAUUGGAGUUUUAAAAAAUAUUCCUAUGAAUUGUAACCCCUAACAACCAGAGGAAACUAUUUAUUAGGAUGAAAUACAGGUUCCACUAUAGUUAAUGUUUUUUUUAAAAGGCCUACACUUUAACCUUCAUUCCCUUAGACACGUAGUAAAACUCUAUUUUUCUCCAACUCUUUAUUAUAUGUAUGUUCCAAUUAACUGAAUUUAUUCUGGCUCCUUGUCAAUCUUAUGUAAAAAGGAUCCCAGUGAUCCAAAUAUUUGGAUCAUGAUAUCUCCAUUUUAAGGCACAUUGGUUUCAAUGGAAAGUCAGCCACAUGCUUGAAUAUCUCCCAUUGAAGUUUAAUGUGCUUAACUUUGAAUAGAUAACUCUCUUAGAAUACAAAAGGCAAUGUGGUCCAGCGGAGAGAGAUCUGCCCUUGGAUCUGGUAAAAAUAGGCUUAUGCUCACCAGGUGCCCUAGACUCACUUUGUGGCUUUGGGAAAGUCAAAGUCUUCCAGUAUAGAUUUACCACUGGCAAAAAUGGCACAAUAGUAACUUACCUCAGACCUGCUAUGAAGGAAAUAUGUAAUCAACAAAUUAUAAAAAUAGUAUAAUCUUGCUACCUGGGCAAAGAGGCACAUUUUAAGCAGUUUACAGGGUAGAACAAUUGUUCCUAUCCCUUCCAGCACAGUGUCUUUUCCAGUAGCUAUUCAUUGUUAUCUCCCUUGUGGCUUUUUUGUCUUUAGGCUGAGCCCCUUUGGGACAAAGAACAAUUAUUUCUUUUACUGUGUGAACUGCUUUGAGAACAUUUUUGUUGAAACAUUGUAUAUAAAUAUUCAUAAAAAUAAUAAAAUAUAUAAAACACUUUGCAAAUUAAAAUAAUGAAUUUUUUCAGCUCUGUUGUAAUAAUUAAUGGAUUUGAAGUGGAGAACUGGGAGCUGGGAAGAAGAAGAAGGUGCUUAGCCAUAGCUUCCAAACUGGCCCUUCCAAUGCAGAGGAUCCUAAUGUUUGGAAAGGCAAACUCUGUUUGGAAGAAAACAGCUUAUGGGAAUCAUUUUGAGUGGAAAACUCGUAGGUAAGGAAAGGGUAAAGUACUCCCUCUCACGUGCUGCUUCACCACUCCCUACCCCUAUGGAGGCAUAGGCUGCUUUUCCCUAUGUGAUAGUAAUUUUAUUUCACAUAUUAGCAUGUAACAUCUAGUUAGGCUCUCAUUCACAGUAUAAUAGUGACCUAUCUUACAGGAUUCUUGAGAGGGUGAAUGAAUUAAAUAGGUACAUUAUGUAAUGAUUCUGCUGCUUUAUUCAUUUUACAUUGUAUUUGUUGUGUUAUAUUUUCAUUUCUAUGAUUCUGUUUUAUUAGCUGGAUUGAUGAUAUGUGUAUUGAACUACAGGAUACAGAUGCAUUAAACAAACAAAAAUGUUAGCUUUUCCGGAGCACUUGGAUCUUGUCAACAGUGUAACAAAUUAUUAGUAAUAGUACAUCAGAUGGUAUUCCAUAUCCUCUUUCAGAAAAGUGCAUCCACUAUAUCAUGUUUACUAUUAGAAAAAUUGUCCACAUUUAACCAAAGUUUAUAUUAUAUAAUGACUGUAUGGCAUGAGCACUCUUGCUGCAACCUCCAAGCCUUGGAGUUUCCCCAUAAACUUUGUUGAAUUUAUCUGAGCCAAUUCCAGAGUGAGUACUUGAUGGAUAGCUGAACAAGUACACCUUGAUAGUUCAGCAGCAGACACACCAUAGCAGGUUGACUGGGAGUGUCCAUUGCAGUUAAUGACCCUAUAAAAUAGAGUAGAACACAAAGCUCUUUUCAGAAAUGGAAAUAAUGAUGAAUUCCAUCCAUUGGGUGAUGACACUAUCCUGCUAAUUAAAAUUAUAUACGCAUACUUCUUCUGUCUAUUGAUCAAUGUAUAUGUACAAAACCACAAUGUUACCCUUAUAUUUUUCACACAUUUUGCUGAUGUUACACACAAAAUUAGAAGAUAGACACUUUGGUUUUUUUACUCCAAAUACUCAUUAAGUUUUUAGCAUUAGAUUGAAAGUUAUAAAAUAAAAUGGGUCAAAACAUUAUAUCCAAUAAAUUAAAGCAAAUUACUGAUAGUUUGAAAAAGUAUAUGAAUUUAAGUCUGUUUUAGUUACUUAAACAGGAUUUAAAUUUUCAGAAUUGCCAAGGACCACAGUGGGAAGAUAUUUUUAUCACAGGUUUGUCAUAAAGAAAAACUAUGUAGACACUACAGAAGUAUUCAUCAAGCAAUAUCUCCUUCUGUUUAAGCAUGACCUUUAGGUGAUCAUUUAAUUGGUGCUAUUUUGUUUAUUUAAUUGUGGAGUUUCCUCUGUUUGUGGCUUAGAACAAGAAUUCUAUAAAAAAGGGAAGUCACUUUUAAAGUUGCAAUAUGGGAUUUUGCAUCCCCGUGUCUGCUCAGCUGAAGUGAUAAAGGCUUGCAUGUCCAUUUGGUAUAUAUUAGUGGGGAACAUAACUGCAGCUUAACAUAUUGUUCAUUUUCAACACUGUCACGUUGCACUCAUAUAGAGCACAUUUUAAUUUCUUGAUCAGUAAUCAAAUGGAAGUUUCUUUGGCAAAUUAAAGCAGGAGGUAUUUUUGUGCAGAAGAAAGGACAUGGGAAUACGACGCCACCUUUUGGCAGAAACAGUAAACAGAUGCAUAUCCCAAAGAAAAGCUCUUCUAAUGUGCAAUUACACUUUAAAUUGCAGUAAUGGCAAAGUACUUAUGCCUAAUUCAUUAUAUUUUAAAUAAUUAAGAGGAAAAGCAUUGCAAAUAAAUAUUUGCAAAGGAAAAGAUGGCUUAGAUGUACUUGAAAAAUAAUCUUUAAUGACAGCAAGUGAGCUAUGCCAUUAUAUCAUGUUAUUACUGAGUAGACUCAAUUGUCAAAAAAAACAGCAGCAAAAUUAUAACCUUCAUGUUGUAGCUUAUCUACCCAAAAUAAAAUGGAUUAAGUUAAAAAUGUGUGUGAGGUAGAAAGGGGACGGGUUGUUUUAAGUGAGUUGUUUUAAGUGAAUUGUUUUAAUUCUCCCUUGCUUCCAUCGUUCCCCCCCCAACCCCAUUUGGGAGAGAGGCUGGAAAGAAUACAGACUAGAAUUAUUAGAGAACAUUUUCCAGUACACAGAAAUGCUGGGAUUCUUCUCCCCUCUUUGGACAAAAGAACAGGCAUUCUGUAAAAAGUCCUUAAAUAAACUUUUGUUUAUGGUUCAAAAGA